CCUAUUUACAGACUUUAGACACAACCAAAAAUCGAAAAGAAAUUAGGUUUUCCUUUUUUCUUUCUCUUCUCCGUUCUCCCUCAGCUUCUUUCUAUUGAAACAAAGAUUUAAUGGAUGAAUUCAGCAUGUAGUUGUACUGAUUCAUCAACAGGUUCUGAGAAUGGUAGAGGAGAAAAAGAGAGAUUGUUAUUGUUUAGUGCAAGUGCAAGUACAACGAUCUUCUUAAUUGGAAUAUCUUGAUGCCUAAUUGGAGUGUCGUGAACACACCAGUCAACUCCAGUCGAGUUUAAGGUAAUGGUGGUUACUAAUUUCUAAUUCAAAACUUGCAAGAUUUAUAUACUUAUUUGUACAGAUGAGGCAUGUUUUUCUACAGACACAUGAACACCAUGCUUAAUAUGAAAUGCCAAUUCCUCCAUUGAUGUAAA